UUAAGCAAUCCACCUGCCUCAACCUCCAAAAGUGCUGGGAUUACAAGUGUGAGCCACCAUACCCGGCUGGUGAGCCUAUUUUCUAAGUACUAAAAAUGCCUAUUCUCUAUUGGCUGAGUCCAAAACCUGCUGAGGUCUAUCAAGAUCCCCUUUAGGAAGAAGAGAAUUUGACUUGGUUGUUUUAUUCAAGGAAUUUGAGGAAUAACAGGUGUGUUGAAGGGAGUCAAAAGGAAUGAGCAUCUGGCACCUGGACCCAAUUGCUCCUCCCAUCCCAUCUUGGGUCAUCCACCUCCAGGUUCAUGGUCCUGGCUGCUGGCUCUGCCCUCCUUCCUUGGAGGCAUCUCCAUAGCUAGGUAGGUUUCUUCCAAAGUGGCCGUCUUCGAAAGUAAUCGGCACAGACUAUGAGGUAAACAACUAAGGCUGAGAGAGACCUGCCCCUGAGACAGACAAAGUUCAGAUUUGACAGACAACCCAUUGAGGAGGCCGACAUAAAAGCACAGCAGGUAAUAAAGAAGCUAGGCAUGUGUCCUGACGGCUGAUGAAUACAAUCUGCUAGACAAUGUGUCUUUUGAGAAGAGAAAUUAAAAGAGCCUCACCACCCUCAAUGACGUGUCUCUUUGGGUUUGGCUGGUAAAAAGCAAUAAGCUUAUGUGAAUUGAAAGGCAGGCAGGAAACAGGAGGUUUCAGCUGGAGGAGCGGCGGUCCAUAAAGACCUGGCAGGAGGGAAGAGCAGGUUGCCAUGGAAUGAAGGAACUAUGGCGGGGAUUGAGCUUCCCACCCAAACGGAGCUCACCGCCCCCCUUGUGUACUCUUCGGGCACGUCUUCACCGGAACACUCGAUACAUUGCCAAAUCAUCGUCUGUUUAGACGAGAGUCUUGACGGCAGGGACUCUUGUUCACUCCUGUUCUCCCAUUGUGAGGAGCAUAAUGCCUGGAAUACCGUAAGUGCUGAAGAAAGGUUUGUGGGGUUGAUUAAUGAUUGAACUCUGAAUAAACAAUGGUCAUUUCGAGGACUAUGUUCUCUGGAGACUUUUUUGCUUUUGAUCCAUGGAUUCCCUCAUGUACGGCCUGAAUGGUCUGAGAGAUAAGAUAACAGCGCUGUUUCAGAGCCUCUCAGCAGCCGCCUUGGGGGCUGGAUUUAUUGCCUUCUUGAGUGAAAUGCUGGCCUUCAAUUUUGCUGAGCUGUCAAGAGGUGAUCUUAGGUGUGUGGCUGUUGAUGGUCCCACAAGCUAACUUUUUAAGUCAAAAAUACCACCCAGCACUGAAAUGGAGGUUGGUUAUGAGGUGUUAACAGGGCCUCUGGGCCACCAAAGAAAAAGGGCUGGGGAAGCCA